AUUGAACGCUGGCGGCAUGCCUUACACAUGCAAGUCGAACGGCAGCAUGGAGAGCUUGCUCUCUGAUGGCGAGUGGCGAACGGGUGAGUAAUGCAUCGGAACGUACCGUGUUAUGGGGGAUAAAGUAGCGAAAGUUACGCUAAUACCGAAUACGACCUGAGGGUGAAAGUAGGGGAUCGCAAGACCUUGCGUUAUCCGAGCGGACGAUGUCAGAUUAGCUAGUUGGUGAGGUAAAGGCUCACCAAGGCGACGAUCUGUAGCGGGUCUGAGAGGAUGAUCCGCCACACUGGGACUGAGACACGGCCCAGACUCCUACGGGAGGCAGCAGUGGGGAAUUUUGGACAAUGGGGGCAACCCUGAUCCAGCCAUGCCGCGUGAGUGAAGAAGGCCUUCGGGUUGUAAAGCUCUUUCGGCCGGGAAGAAAUCGCACAGGCUAAUACUCUGUGUGGAUGACGGUACCGGCAUAAGAAGCACCGGCUAACUACGUGCCAGCAGCCGCCGUAA
rnacentral:rRNA from 1 species